rnacentral:rRNA from 1 species
AUUGAACGCUGGCGGCAGGCCUAACACAUGCAAGUCGAGCGAGCGGCGGACGGGUGAGUAAUGUAUGGGGACUGCCCGAUAGAGGGGGAUAACUACUGGAAACGGUGGCUAAUACCCCAUACUGUCGCAUAACCCAUAUGGGAUUAGCUAGUGGGUAAGGUAAUGGCUUACAUAGGCGACGAUCCCUAGCUGGUCUGAGAGGAUGAGCAGCCACACUGGGACGGAGACACGGCCCAGACUCCUACGGAGGCAGCAGUGGGGAAUAUUGCACAAUGGGCGCAAGCCUGAUGCAGCCAUGCCGCGUGUAUGAAGAAGGCCCUAGGGUGUUAAAGUACUUUCAGUGGGGAGGCGUUACCGACAGAAGAAGCACCGGCUAACUCCGUGCCAGCAGCCGCGGUAAUUC